rnacentral:rRNA from 1 species
AUUGAACGCUGGCGGAAUGCUUUACACAUGCAAGUCGAGCGGCAGCACGGGGGCAACCCUGGUGGCGAGCGGCGAACGGGUGAGUAAUACAUCGGAACAUGCCCAGUCGUGGGGGAUAACACUUCGAAAGAAGUGCUAAUACCGCAUACGUCCUGAGGGAGAAAGCGGGGGAUCUUCGGACCUCGCGCGAUUGGAGUGGCCGAUGUCAGGUUAGCUAGUUGGUGGGGUAAAGGCCUACCAAGGCAACGAUCUGUAGCUGGUCGGAGAGGAUGAUGAGGCAGGGUGGGACGGAGAGACGGCGCAGACUCCGACGGGAGGCAGCAGUGAGGAAUUUUGGACAAUGGGGGCAACCCUGUUCCAGCCAUUCCGCGUGAGUGAAGGAGGCCGUCGGGUUGUAAAGCUCUUUCGGCAGGAACGAAACGGCGAGCUCUAACAUAGCUUGCUAAUGACGGUACCUGAAGAAGAAGCACCGGCUAACUACGUGCCAGCCGCCGCCGUAACAC